GGUCCCCAGAGGAGCAUCCUCUGGUGGGAAUCCUCCACUGGUGCCCCAACCCCAACAAAUUUCCCAUAGUAACCAUAUAUUUUUCAUAUAUCUAUCUUGAGCAUAUAUAUAUGUAGUUUGAGCAUAUAUAUAUGCUCAAAACCCUCUUGGCAAUGCUCUAUCGAAGCUGACGCAUGAUGACGACAACACAAGACAAAUGAAAAAUGUGGUUGUGCAGUAACUGAGAGGGGAGGGAGCUUUCUCCAAGUAUUUGCUCACGGAUCGUUUGGUGAUGAUUCAACACAGUUGAUGUAAAAUCUGGCUGAGUUGAACCAGGUGCGAGCCAGCCUGGUGUGGGUACUACAAUAUAGCUGAAAGUGGGAUUUAAUACCAAUUUACGUGGUCAGGAGGGGUGGGGAGAGGUAGAAGGAACGGGCACAGCCCAGUAACUUGUUUAUCUUCCACAGCCACGAGUGACACACGGGAAGACUGCAGGCAGGGCUCGAUGCUCAGCCUUCCAGCAUUGCCCCUCCAGCCAAAGCCGGUGGUGAGCCAGGUCAGGGACCCGAUCCAAGCUGUGACAGCAGCGCAGGGGGGCUCUGCUCGGAGCUGGCUGGCGGCUGCUGUGCUCAGAACCUCCGAGGCUGCCGUGGGGAAAGUGCCAGAAAAAACAUCCUGCUUCCUCCAGAGAUGCAAGAGGCUGAGAUGCGUUUAGGUGUACCAGGAGCAUCAUCGGGGUGUGCAGGGCUCCGGAUUUCCCACCCAGAGCUGUCCUUCCCUGCAGUGAAACACCAGGACAGACAUCGGCAGGCUCACCUCUUGCAGGAGCUGGGACUGCCCAAAUAAUUCGUUGUGUAAUUUAAUUGUGUUAGCUAAUUCCUUCCGAAUUUUUUUUUCUAAUUCCUUCCAAAUAUUGGCUUUCCAUGAAGCGAAAGGAGUAUCAAGACAAACAGCAAAAAAGUCAGAGGGAUGAAUAUUUACACUGCCAUUUGCCACACGUUACUCACCAUCACGGUGGCAAUCUCAGAAAGCCCUUAUUAAAUCCCAUUUUCCUGCUUUUUAGCACUGGAUUUGCCUGUCUUGUGCCAGGACACCCCCCAGCCUGCAGACCCCACUUGGCUACAAAAUUGUCAUGCACUGGGGGGUUAAUGCUACAAAACUCAGCUACGGAUGAUGCAUAGAAAUUUAACAAAAUAUGGAAAUGAACUCCAAAAUUCACAAGUUACAAAGAAGAGAAAAUUAGAAGCGGGUGAAUCCGCAUUCAGUGAAGAUAAGACACUUGUUAGCAUUUCAUUACGACUUUCCUCUUCUGGAGGGCUUACAGACGUAAGAUGCCCUUGUUAGUAGAGCUGCAUGCUUCAGAAAACAGGAAUUGCAAAACGCAGCUAUUUUGGUCCUGGCAUUUUCCUCUCUUACUCUCUAUUUAGGGGGCUCGUUUGCCUGUAUUAAUGCUAGCAGCUUUAGGGCCGGGCCAACACAUCCAGCUGCACUUUCAAGGCUCAGACCGAGGGUAAAAACCCUUCCUAGGUUCCUGAGUUUAUUUUUGGGUCUCACAGGUCCCCAGAUGAAUUCUGCCAGGCAGCCAUGCCGCACUCCGGCCCAGGUCCCG